rnacentral:lncRNA from 1 species
CUGAGCUCCCUCAGACAUCACAUGAACCUACAGAAACAAAGUUUCAUUAUUAUGUCACAGCCCUGUAUAGGCUUCCCCAACCACUGGGGAAGCCCAACUUUGAAAUCCUUCCACUGAGAAGCCGCAAACAGCUUUUGUUCUGAAAACCUGUACUGUUGGUAUAAGCAGGAAAACAUCAAAGAGGCUGGCAUUUCAUUGGUAAUAUUUAGAAGGUCAGUGUCACCCCUCAGGAAGGAGAUGUGAAAUUCCUACUCUCAAAUUCUUAUGCCAGAGAGGCUUGUGGAUUUACUGCUCAUUUGCACAGACAUUUUUCUCCCUCUGAACUAAAUAUCCAG